UACACACUUUUCCCCCUUUUCCUUCCCGCAUGUGGGAGCCGCUCUCCCGCCAACCUUUUCUAGCUCCUACCCGGUACACGUGGCAGAGUCGGGCUCCUUUGAAAACGUAACAAGUGUGUCAGAAAGAAAACCAUCACCAUGGAAAUAAACAUUCUCAACAGGACUCUGGACGUGCCGAUGGCUAGCCUGCCUUGUCAUUGUGAGAAUGGGUAACGACUGCAUUUUGCCUCAAACACUGAACUUAAGACACAAACGAGAUAGCCUUAAAAGGCGAAGUUGAAUACUCCUUACAAACCUCUAGGACGUAAGCAAGGGAAAAGGAGUGACUCAUACCCACCUCUCUUGAAUGAACAUUUUGCAUAUAUUCACCAUGAAAACCCUGUUUUUCGAACAUAACAGCAGGCUGUUCAGCCUAGGAGUAUGGUGCUGCCACAGCCAUCAUAUCUGUCAGUGGGGAGAGUCUGACUUCAAAAGAAACCCAAACAUAACAUGGAAUUGUGGCAGAGUCUUGAAGAUGACAUUUGAACCAGCUUGAUCCAGCUGAGCCUGAAGCCACCGCUACCCCUGUACUUUCUUUGUGCUUAAACUAGAUAAAGAAAAAGUUUCUGGUACUUGUAAAAUGUGUCAUCUUAUAUGAACACCUUAAGGAAACAUUCAAUUAAUAUUUUUUAACAUCUUGUGUUUAUUUUUGAAGUAUUUGGGAAAAUAAAUUCAUGGGAAAUCUAGAAGAAUAAAGGAGACGGGGAAUUCUUGACAUAUUAAAAUGAGAUCACCAGCAUUUUAACUUCACUCUGCUCAAAGGAUAAUUUCAGUCCCACUGAAAUAACAUCCAUCUACUAAACAAUUUAAACGACAUAACAUAAACAUAUUUUCACCCUUAAAUAAAAAAAACCUUAUAAACAAAAUAAUCAAGUCCCCAAACCCAUUCAGAGUCUCUGAUUCUGAAUUAUCUUCAAAGCAAUGAAUGAAUGGAUAU